GAUGAACGCUGGCGGCGUGCCUAAUACAUGCAAGUCGAACGCACAGCGAAAGGUGCUUGCACCUUUCAAGUGAGUGGCGAACGGGUGAGUAACACGUGGACAACCUGCCUCAAGGCUGGGGAUAACAUUUGGAAACAGAUGCUAAUACCGAAUAAAACUCAGUGUCGCAUGACACAAAGUUAAAAGGCGCUUUGGCGUCACCUAGAGAUGGAUCCGCGGUGCAUUAGUUAGUUGGUGGGGUAAAGGCCUACCAAGACAAUGAUGCAUAGCCGAGUUGAGCGACUGAUCGGCCACAUGGGGACUGAGACACGGCCCAAACUCCUACGGGAGGCUGCAGUAGGGAAUCUUCCACAAUGGGCGAAAGCCUGAUGGAGCAACGCCGCGUGUGUGAUGAAGGCUUUCGGGUCGUAAAGCACUGUUGUAUGGGAAGAACAGCUAGAAUAGGGAAUGAUUUUAGUUUGACGGUACCAUACCAGAAAGGGACGGCUAAAUACGUGCCAGCCGCCGCCGUAA
rnacentral:rRNA from 1 species